rnacentral:rRNA from 1 species
GACGAACGCUGGCGGCGUGCUUAACACAUGCAAGUCGAACGGAAAGGCCCUGCUUUUGUGGGGUGCUCGAGUGGCGAACGGGUGAGUAACACGUGAGUAACCUGCCCUUGACUUUGGGAUAACUUCAGGAAACUGGGGCUAAUACCGGAUAGGAGCUCCUGCUGCAUGGUGGGGGUUGGAAAGUUUCGGCGGUUGGGGAUGGACUCGCGGCUUAUCAGCUUGUUGGUGGGGUAGUGGCUUACCAAGGCUUUGACGGGUAGCCGGCCUGAGAGGGUGACAGGCCACACUGGGACUGAGAUACGGCCCAGACUCCUACGGGAGGCAGCAGUGGGGAAUAUUGCACAAUGGGCGGAAGCCUGAUGCAGCAACGCCGCGUGCGGGAAGACGGCCUUCGGGUUGUAAACCGCUUUCGCCUGUGACGAAGCGUGAGUGACGGUAAUGGGUAAAGAAGCACCGGCUAACUACGUG